GAUGAACGCUGGCGGCGUGCUUAACACAUGCAAGUCGAACGGAAAGGCCCAAGCUUGCUUGGGUACUCGAGUGGCGAACGGGUGAGUAACACGUGGGUGAUCUGCCCUGCACUUCGGGAUAAGCCUGGGAAACUGGGUCUAAUACCGGAUAGGACGAUGGUUUGGAUGCCAUUGUGGAAAGUUUUUUCGGUGUGGGAUGAGCUCGCGGCCUAUCAGCUUGUUGGUGGGGUAAUGGCCUACCAAGGCGUCGACGGGUAGCCGGCCGGAGAGGGUGUACGGCCACAUUGGGACUGAGAGACGGCCCAGACUCCUACGGGAGGCAGCAGUGGGGAAUAUUGCACAAUGGGCGCAAGCCUGAUGCAGCGACGCCGCGUGGUGGAUGACGGCCUUCGGGUUGUAAACUCCUUUCGCUAGGGACGAAGCGUUUUUGUGACGGUACCUGGAGAAGAAGCACCGGCUAACUACGUG
rnacentral:rRNA from 1 species